UUAGAUAGGAAAGUUAACUAUUGUUACCAUUUACUUUAAUCAAACUCUCAUUUCUAGUUAAAUCCUCAUUCUCUUUUAAAUAAACCUUCUUUUGUUUUAUUACAAGUGCUCCCCGGUGUUGUGUGGUUUACAAGGUAAAACUGGAGUACACUGCACCUCUGGGUGCGGAGGAUCUGGAAUUUAUAUCAAAGUUGUGAUCAGAUGUGGUCAGCUGGGACAUAAGAGCAGGGGCUGUGGCUGGGUUGCUGUUGGGAAACCAGACUGUUAGACAGGCAUCCACUGGAGUAUCUGAAGAAGCUAGGACUGCCUCGGCCACCACCGCAGGAUGAAAGGGCUUUAGAAGCCUGUCUGGCCUUUAUAUACACCACUGGUCACAGACUCCCAAAGGGAAGAACUGCACAUGACAAACCCAGUCGGACCUGCCAG